CCUACGGGUGGCAGCAGUGAGGAAUAUUGGUCAAUGGACGAGAGUCUGAACCAGCCAAGUAGCGUGAAGGAUGACUGCCCUAUGGGUUGUAAACUUCUUUUAUAUGGGAAUAAAAUGUUCCACGUGUGGGAUUUUGUAUGUACCAUAUGAAUAAGGAUCGGCUAACUCCGUGCCAGCAGCCUCGGUAAUACGGAGGAUCCGAGCGUUAUCCGGAUUUAUUGGGUUUAAAGGGAGAGUAGGUGGAUUGUUAAGUCAGUUGUGAAAGUUUGCGGCUCAACCGUAAAAUUGCAGUUGAAACUGGCAGUCUUGAGUACAGUAGAGGUGGGCGGAAUUCGUGGUGUAGCGGUGAAAUGCUUAGAUAUCACGAAGAACUCCGAUUGCGAAGGCAGUUCACUGGACUGCAACUGACACUGAGGCUCGAAAGUGUGGGUAUCAAACAGGAUUAGAUACCCGAGUAGUC
rnacentral:rRNA from 1 species